GACGAACGCUGGCGGCGUGCCUAAUACAUGCAAGUCGAACGCAGUGGGGACGGGUGAGUAACACGUGGGUAACCUCCCAUCAGAGGGGAUAACACUUGGAAACAGGUGCUAAACUGAUACUGAUGGAUGUACCCGCGGUGCAUUAGCUAGUUGGAGGGGUAACGGCUCACCAAGGCGACGAUGCAUAGCUGACCGGAGAGGGUGAUCAGCCACACGGGGACUGAGACACGGCCCAGACUCCUACGGGAGGCAGCAGUGGGGAAUCUUCGGCAAUGGACGAAAGUCUGACCGAGCAACGCCGCGUGAGUGAAGAAGGUUUUCGGGUCGUAAAACUCUGUUGGUAGCGAAGCGGUAUCUAAACAGAAAGCCACGGCUAACUACGUGCCAGCAGCCGCGGUAAUUC
rnacentral:rRNA from 1 species